GGCUCAGGAUGAACGCUAGCGGCAGGCUUAACACAUGCAAGUCGAGGGGCAGCGCGAGUAGCAAUACUUGGCGGCGACCGGCGCAAGGGUGCGUAACGCGUGAGCAACAUGCCCGUAUCAGGGGGAUAAUCCAGGGAAACUUGGUCUAAUACCCCAUAGUAAUUUUUGUAAGGCAUCUUAUAAGAUUUAAAGCUUUGGUGGAUACGGAUUGGCUCGCGUGACAUUAGCUGGAUGGUAAGGUAACGGCUUACCAUGGCUAUGAUGUCUAGGGGUUCUGAGAGGAAGGUCCCCCACACUGGAACUGAGACACGGUCCAGACUCCUACGGGAGGCAGCAGUGAGGAAUAUUGGACAAUGGAUGGAAAUCUGAUCCAGCCAUGCCGCGUGAAGGAAAGAAGGUCCUAUGGAUUGUAAACUUCUUUUGUAUGGGAGCAAUAAGGCCUACGAGUAGGUUGAUGAGAGUACCAUACGAAUAAGCACCGGCUAACUCCGUGCCAGCAGCCGC
rnacentral:rRNA from 1 species